rnacentral:rRNA from 1 species
UACGGAGGGUGCGAGCGUUGUCCGGAAUCACUGGGCGUAAAGGGCGCGUAGGUGGUGGCUUAAGCGUGCGGUGAAAGCUCGGGGCUCAACUCCGAGUCGGCCGUGCGAACUGGGCUCACUGGAGCAUAGUAGAGGCAGGUGGAAUUCCGGGUGUAGCGGUGGAAUGCGUAGAGAUCCGGAAGAACACCGGUGGCGAAGGCGGCCUGCUGGGCUAUGGCUGACACUGAGGCGCGACAGCGUGGGUAGCAAACAGG